ACAACAAAACAAGAUGCAUUUAAAUUUGUAAAUUAAUGUCUAGAUUCUUAAUCUGGUAUAGUUGAAGAGAGUUGCUUUAGUGACCUACAUACGGGUUCUCCUGUUACCGCUAACAUUUCAUAGGUCACUGGACAACAUCUGGGCACAAAUAGGCUGGAGAUAAUCAACUGACAUCAAUGUUACGGUAUUCACCAAGGCGCAUAGAGAGAACACUGGGAUGAAGUUCAUCAAAACAGGUCGAUGAGCUAAGAGAUCAUGUUGUGAAGUCCAACUCACGGAUGUCGUGCCCCGGUAACAACUGUCAACCCUACUUGACCGCCAUGUCUACGUUGUCACUAUGGACCCACUCAGACUCAUCAUGUAUUACUGGCAUUUCCAGCUCCAGUUCACGCUCUUGGCAAUUGUGCUGACAGAACGAGAGAAGUGUCAAGAGUUGGUACAGACGAUGUAGAGCUGGCUACUGUGAGGACGCUAUGACCAUGCGGUAUACUGGAGACCAUGACACCCUCACACCGACUGUCCCUAUAUCUACAACUUGGCUGCUUACUGCUCUCCUAGUUCACUUAUGGUUAACACCUCUCGCAUUUUUUUCUUGAAAUAUUCAAAUUUUAGUACAAAUCUCAAAUUUACAGAACUCUAAAAUUAAAUGGAAUCAAAAAGAUGCUACAGAAACAGCCCGAUAAUAGGCGUGUGGAGUUUUGUCAGACACUGUGUGGUAGCAAUCUUCUUCUCUCUGUUAGCUAAUGGCUUGCAAACAGUAAAAGAUAUCGCCACAGACAAUGCACUGACUUUAUAGAGCUGUGGGGACAUUUAAUUAGAAAUGUCCAUAAAUGCUUUGCCAUAUAAUUGCUAGUAUUCCGCAAUCGGACCAGAUUUACAAAGAGGAUUUUAGAAGUACGAUAUUCUUGAGUAUUACGGUGA